GGGAACGUUGACGGUAAAGCCUGACCGACGCUGCCUGUAAAGCAGUGGCCCUCGCGGACAACUGGGUGCAAGUCCCAGCGUUCCCACCA
rnacentral:tRNA from 2 species